UACGUAGGGGGCAAGCGUUGUCCGGAUUUAUUGGGCGUAAAGAGCGUGUAGGCGGUUUGGUAGGUCCGCUGUGAAAACUCGAGGCUCAACCUCGAGACGCCGGUGGAAACCAUCAGACUAGAGUCCGGAAGAGGAGAGUGGAAUUCCUGGUGUAGCGGUGAAAUGCGCAGAUAUCAGGAGGAACACCGGUGGCGAAGGCGGCCAUCUGGACGACUACUGACGCUGAGGCGCGAAAGCGUGGGGAGCGAACAGG
rnacentral:rRNA from 1 species